UUAGUCCAAGCUAUCAGAAGGACCAUCUCACCCUGUAUGAGCUGUUCCAGCCUUCAGAGUCCUUUUCUCAGUGCCAACACCCUCACAGGUUGUUUUGGAAAGGACACAGGAGAGGCCUUUCUCUGUCACUGCUCCUAAGCUGUAGAAUGCCCUCUUCUGGGUGUCAGUUUGGUCUUUUCUCUUUUGUCUGUUUGCUGGCAGCUAAAGCUUGUCUUUCUUAGGCGGGCUUUCAAUUGAUUUGGGCAAGUAUCAUUCUAGGAUGCUGCAUGCACAUUUUUACUGAACUGAAUCGCAUAUGUUUAAUUUUUUUUAUGGUACUUGUUAAUAUUUUUACUUGUUUAGUUGCUUUUAACAUUAUAUUUCCCUGUAUUUUAAAUUGUGUUUACUAUAUUUGUUUUAAUUGAUUAUGAGCUGGUUUGGGUCCCUCUAUGGGAACUGCAUGCACAUAAUGCAUACAUGCAUACGUGCAUACCUACCUACCUACCUACCUACCUACUCUAGGUCUGUAAGUGUUAUGAAACAAAGCAACAUUGCUACCUGGCUGUUUUUCCUUACUGGCUUACUUCUUAUGCCAGGGAAACUGGAAAGCCUUUCAUGUACAGGUUCUAAAUAUUGUACGCAGGUUCAAAAAAUGUGCUUCACCCUGCAUUUCUGGCUGCUCAGUUUAGCUCAGGAACUGCAGACCAAUGAUUAACUUCAAGACAGAUUCCUAGCAAGUUGAUAUCCAUUGUACCAUAUCUUCUAAGCUACUUUCACAAGUAGCAUCACUACCCCAUUUUCCUGUUCUCAGCUGCCCUGCACUGCACCCUACAGUUCCCUGUUUAGACUGCCCAGGAUCAAUAUAACCCCUUGUGCAGGGCCCACCUUCCACAAAAAACAAAACAAAACAAAACAAAAAACAAAAAAAUCUUUCUGACAGCACCCACCAUUGUUAAAUGCCCUCAGUUCUAAAAUAUUUAAAUAUUUUGAAUCUUUUAAAUUCAGACUUCUAAUUGAUCUUCUAAUUGACCAGAAAGAUCUGGAUGUCCCGGACAACCCAGAUACUGUGGUUGCUGACCUUGAGCCAGACAUCCUGGAGAGUGAAGUCAAGUGGGCCUUAGAAAGCCUGGCUAACAACAAGGCCAGUGGAGGUGAUGGCAUUCCAGUUGAACUAUUUAAAAUCUUAAAAGAUGAUGCUGUUAAGGUGCUACACUCAAUAUGCCAGCGAGUUUGGAAAACU
rnacentral:lncRNA from 1 species